UGGGGAAUCUUGCGCAAUGGGGGAAACCCUGACGCAGCGACGCCGCGUGCGGGAUGAAGGCCUUCGGGUUGUAAACCGCUUUCAGCAGGGACGAGGCCUUAUGGUGACGGUACCUGCAGAAGAAGCUCCGGCUAAAUACGUGCCAGCAGCCGCGGUAAUACGUAUGGAGCAAGCGUUAUCCGGAUUCAUUGGGCGUAAAGUGCUCGUAGGCGGUCUGUUAGGUCGGCAAGUUAAAUCCGGGGGCUCAACCCCCGUCCGCUUCCGAUACCGGCAGACUUGAGUUUGGUAGGGGAAGGUGGAAUUCCUAGUGUAGCGGUGGAAUGCGGAGAUAUUAGGAAGAACACCGGUGGCGAAGGCGGCCUUCUGGGCCAUAACUGACGCUGAGGAGCGAAAGCUAGGGGAGCGAACAGG
rnacentral:rRNA from 1 species